rnacentral:rRNA from 1 species
UACGUAGGGUGCAAGCGUUAAUCGGAAUUACUGGGCGUAAAGCGUGCGCAGGCGGUUGUGCAAGACAGAUGUGAAAUCCCCGGGCUCAACCUGGGAACUGCAUUUGUGACUGCAUCGCUGGAGUACGGCAGAGGGGGAUGGAAUUCCGCGUGUAGCAGUGAAAUGCGUAGAUAUGCGGAGGAACACCGAUGGCGAAGGCAAUCCCCUGGGCCUGCACUGACGCUCAUGCACGAAAGCGUGGGGAGCAAACAGG